rnacentral:rRNA from 1 species
CGUAACGCGUAUGUAACCUACCUUGUUCAGGGGGAUAGCCUCUCGAAAGAGAGAUUAAGACCGCAUAAAAUCACAAUGUGGCAUCACAAAAUGAUCAAAUAUUUAUAGGAACAAGAUGGGCAUGCGGAACAUUAGCUAGUUGGUAAGGUAACGGCUUACCAAGGCUACGAUGUUUAGGGGAUCUGAGAGGAUGACCCCCCACACUGGUACUGAGAUACGGGCCAG